UAUUCUAAUAGCUUAUUUUUAGAGCAUUACACUGAAGAUGUAAAGGAAACAUUUUUGUUUUAGAAUAUC
rnacentral:tRNA from 1 species